AUUGAACGAGCGAGAGAGAGCUUGCUUUCUCGAGCGAGUGGCGAACGGGUGAGUAACGCGUGAGGAACCUGCCUCAAAGAGGGGGACAACAGUUGGAAACGACUGCUAAUACCGCAUAAGCCCACGGGUCGGCAUCGACCAGAGGGAAAAGGAGCAAUCCGCUUUGAGAUGGCCUCGCGUCCGAUUAGCUAGUUGGUGAGGUAACGGCCCACCAAGGCAACGAUCGGUAGCCGGACUGAGAGGUUGAACGGCCACAUUGGGACUGAGACACGGCCUAGACUCCUACGGGAGGCAGCAGUGGGGAAUAUUGCACAAUGGGGGAAACCCUGAUGCAGCGACGCCGCGUGGAGGAAGAAGGUCUUCGGAUUGUAAACUCCUGUUGUUGAGGAAGAUAAUGACGGUACUCAACAAGGAAGUGACGGCUAACUACGUGCCAGCAGCCGCGGUAAAACGUAGGUCACAAGCGUUGUCCGGAAUUACUGGGUGUAAAGGGAGCGCAGGCGGGAAGACAAGUUGGAAGUGAAAUCCAUGGGCUCAACCCAUGAACUGCUUUCAAAACUGUUUUUCUUGAGUAGUGCAGAGGUAGGCGGAAUUCCCGGUGUAGCGGUGGAAUGCGUAGAUAUCGGGAGGAACACCAGUGGCGAAGGCGGCCUACUGGGCACCAACUGACGCUGAGGCUCGAAAGUGUGGGUAGCAAACAGGAUUCGAUACCCUGGUAGUCCACACCGUAAAC
rnacentral:rRNA from 1 species